UACGAAGGGGGCUAGCGUUGCUCGGAAUCACUGGGCGUAAAGGGUGCGUAGGCGGGUCUUUUAAGUCAGGGGUGAAAUCCUGGAGCUCAACUCCAGAACUGCCUUUGAUACUGAAGAUCUUGAGUCCGGGAGAGGUGAGUGGAACUGCGAGUGUAGAGGUGAAAUUCGUAGAUAUUCGCAAGAACACCAGUGGCGAAGGCGGCUCACUGGCCCGGUACUGACGCUGAGGCACGGAAAGCGUGGGGAGCAAACAGG
rnacentral:rRNA from 1 species